UCCUUAUCCCUUCCUUUUCUUGAGAUAAUCUCCAGACCGUCUCCGUCUCGUUAGUAAGAAAAGUGAUCAUGUUGCUGUUAGUUAUUGUUGCUGUGUUAUUCUCCGGUUGUUUUGCCAACAUCCUUCAACCAUAUAACGAAACCGCCCUUGCCAUGUUCCAUGGUAACGACUUUAAUGGUGAUAAUAAGUUUGAAAGAUCUGAACUCGAUUUUACUUUCUACGUCUAUGACACUGAACCAUUGGAUGGAGUAAUCAGUCGACUAGAAUAUACGUCAUACAUUAACAAAACAACCCCUGAGCUUUAUAGAUUAUCUCAUGAACUCUAUGACAUCUACGAUAUAGAUAACGAUAACAGACUGGAGAAACAUGACUACGAUGCCUUCUUUAAGCUGAUGGAUUAUGAUGAGGAUGGCUUGGUAACAGAAGAUGAAUUUGUACACUACUGGACAAUCCUUUUGGAAUCUCUCGGUCACUUGAUUGAUAUUGGUGAAGCUAAAUAAUCUGUCAUUUAAACUAAUAAAACUAACAGAAAAUUUAA